UAUAUAGUUUAUUUGUAAAUAACUUUGGUUGGGGUAAUCAAGGAAUAAAAUUAAUUUAAAGUGUUGUUUUAACUUCCUUAAUUUUGAAUUUAGAUGAAGAAAAAA